AUUGAACGCUGGCGGCAUGCUUUACACAUGCAAGUCGAACGGCAGCGGGGGCUUCGGCCUGCCGGCGAGUGGCGAACGGGUGAGUAAUGCAUCGGAACGUGCCCAUGUCGUGGGGGAUAACGUAUCGAAAGGUACGCUAAUACCGCAUACGCCCUGGGGGGGAAAGCGGGGGAUUCUUCGGAACCUCGCGCGAUUGGAGCGGCCGAUGUCGGAUUAGCUAGUAGGUGAGGUAAAGGCUCACCUAGGCGACGAUCCGUAGCGGGUCUGAGAGGAUGAUCCGCCACACUGGGACUGAGACACGGCCCAGACUCCUACGGGAGGCAGCAGUGGGGAAUUUUGGACAAUGGGCGCAAGCCUGAUCCAGCCAUGCCGCGUGAGUGAAGAAGGCCUUCGGGUUGUAAAGCUCUUUCGGCCGGGAAGAAAUCGUGUUCUCUAACAUAGGACAUGGAUGACGGUACCGGACUAAGAAGCACCGGCUAACUACGUGCCAGCCGCCGCCGUAAUAC
rnacentral:rRNA from 1 species